ensembl:lncRNA
CUCCUCUCAGAUAAAAGAUCUGGGCAUCAGGAUUCUGCCAGCAUUUCCACCAAACUAGCACUCUCUCUCCCUUCUCUCCAAAAGCAGUUGCACUGAUGAUGUAGAAGGGGAGAGCUUUGCAAAGUCCUACCGUGACCACCACCUUACCCACACGUGUCACAAAGAAAGGACCUCCUUCGGUGACCCAACAAAACAAGACCAUUCCCCACUGCCGUGCUCUCUCAUGGCUCCAGCCCCACUGUGUACUCUGUGUUCUGAUGAAGACCCAAAUGACCAGGAGACAUCCCUGAGGCUUCAUCCGAGCUGAGUUAAAGCACACAGGCAAAAUGCAUUUCCAGCUGUUUGCUGCUCUGGAGGGAGUGAAGGAGAAGAUCUAAAGCAAAGAAGAUUCAGAACCAGAAGCAAUUCUGAAAGUCUAUGGCCUUGAUAUCCAUAGACUUCCAUCUCAUGUCGGCAUUCCUGUUAUCAAGACACUCCCUCUGAAGCUAUGGAGUUGCAGAGCUGUUUGCAGGUGGUCCAGCUGACUCUUAUAUGAGGCAAUGACCUUCUCUGCACUGUAACAUACUGGUGCUGGACCCGGCUGUAUGUGAAUUCCUCGCAGACUAGGAGAGUUAGGAGGAGCACUGACUACGUGGUACCCAGCAGCUAGCAAAUUGCAUACCUGCUCUACGUGGGAACCCAGCAGAGCAGGAUGGCCCAGGGCCUCAGCAGAGAGCUUCCUGGGAUCUCGGCCAUAUGGCACACUGCACUGGUUACGCGUGAAGAGGUUCACUUGAGGCUUUCCUAUACAUGUGGUUAACAAGACAGUCUACUUCUUCAGCAGGUUUCAAUUAGUGUGGCUGCUCUGUGGGCGGCACUGGCUCAGUCUGGCAGCUUUGCCAAUGGUCUCAUUGGCUUCUCUUACUUUUGCCUGCAUGACUCUGGGUCUUCAGCUGCUGAUAGAAGAAACGUCUUUUCUGACUGCACUGCAAGGGGCUCUGGAGACACCUGAGCUGUAGGUAGUGUACAGCUGGC